rnacentral:rRNA from 1 species
UACGUAGGGGGCAAGCGUUGUCCGGAAUUAUUGGGCGUAAAGAGCGUGUAGGCGGCCAGAUAAGUCCGCUGUGAAAUCUCGAGGCUCAACUUCGAGCUGUCGGUGGAAACUAUCUGGCUAGAGUCCGGAAGAGGAGAAUGGAAUUCCUGGUGCAGCGGUGAAAUGCGCAGAUAUCAGGAAGAACACCCGUGGCGAAGGCGGUUCUCUGGGACGGUACUGACGCUGAGACGCGAAAGCGUGGGGAGCGAACAGG